rnacentral:tRNA from 1 species
GCAGUAGCUUAAUGGUAGAGCAGUGAAAAGCUUCCUCACCCCUUGUCGCCGUCACCUUUUUCAAACACGUCAAUGCCACAUCGUGGCCCGCUUUGCGCGGGCGGAUGCCGGGGAAACUACAUCUUACUUGGUUACGGGUUCGACUCCCGUCUCGUGCU